CAAUUUUCAGCGACGGAUAUCUUGGCUCGAGCACCUAUGAAGGGCGCAGCGAAGUGCGAUAAUCGUUGUGAAUUGCAGAACUCCGUGAACCAGUGGCCUCUUGAACGUGCAUUGCGCUCUUGGGAUAUGCCUGAGAGCAUGUCUGCUUCAGUG
rnacentral:rRNA from 1 species